GUCAGUAAUUUCUCCCCUAGCAAGAAUGAGGAAGAUGAAGAGCUCGGGUAUCUGAGGGCUGGUGUGUCUGCAUGCGUGUGUGUUUUGGGGGCCGACUGAAGGAAGAGAAGGCUGGAGAGAGGGAACAUGGGUCUGAGGGCACAUCGCUAAGGGGUCAAGAGGCCUAAAGGAGGAGUCUAAGGCUCUCCAUCGAACUUGGACUUGGUCUACAUUAGACUUUAACCUCCAUGAGGCUUGGACUUUCAGGCUUCCUCCCUCACACCGCGGGCAGGUGAGGCGUCUGCUACAGGCCUGGUCUCGCAGAGGGGGCCCAGCGCCCCCCGCCGCCGCCUUCUCCUGGAGUCUGUGUGACAGAAUGGGACCUGUGGGAAAGCAGCACGUCAGCACCCAGCCCCGCUUGCGCGCCAGCAGCUAAUUAAAGCCAGGAAGGUGAUGGCGAUUUUCAACUCAUUCCCGUUACAAACAGCCGACCUUCCUACCGAGUUCAAGUACCUUCUGCCUGGCCUGGAAGAACAAUAUCUCUCUGUCUCCCUCUUCCACUGGCCCUCACCUGCCUUCCCCUGAACAUGCAUUUUGCCUGACAGGAGACAGAGGCAGUUGAUGCUUGCAGCUUGGUCCAGGAGGCCAGCAGGACCAGAGAGAAGACCACAGCGACACAUGGGGAUGGCUGUCCCACAGGCAGAAAUGAGCAGCCGGGAGGAAGCCCAGGCAGCCAGCCACCCAGCUCCCUCCACAUCGUGGCCCUAGAACGGAGUCUUGAAGAAUAAGAAGCCACAGCUUGUCAGGGAAUCAGGCUGGAAAAAUGUUAUGAGACUGAGUAAGACCAGAGAUUCCUCAGCAGUGCCUGGAGAAGACCAGGAGAGGAAGCAGAAGACCCUCCUCAAAGAAGCAGCCUUCACCUCCAGACCUCCCAGCGGGACUUAGACAAUGGGGUUAGGCAGUCACAUGUCUGCACGUGGAAACUUUCUGGGACUGUGCUUGGAUCCUGGCUCUGCCUUUUACUAGCCAUGUGACCUUGGGAAAAUCACUUGACUUCUCCGUGCAGGAUUCCUCAUCUGUAAAAAUGGUCUAAGAUUAGGAGCCACCUCAAGGUUGUUGUAGGAAUUAAAUUAAUUCAUGUUUAUAAAGUGCUUUGAACAGCGUUUGGCACAUGGAGAAUUAAAUGAGCAAACGGAAGAGCAGCAACCCUGAGUUACAUUUCUCAAGACACCGGGGCUCUUGAUGGCACAGCAGCAGCUUGCUAGAGCUUGGUAAAGAGACUUGGGCCUGGUACCUGAAGGGCAAUUCCUUGGCCAUGACAUUGUAGGGAAAGACCUCUAUGGGUGUUGAAAAGACAAGGCGAGGACAAGAAGAGUUGAAAAGGAGCUGUUCUGAAGCCACCUGGCUGUGGAUGGAGGAAGCCACAUGUAGCUUAGGUAGCCUGCUAUUGUAAUUUUUUCUGCAACUGAAGAAUUCGAAAUGGGUUUGGUGGGUAGCGAAGGGCAGAAUCUGGCUUCAAGGUGACAGAGUUUGCAUAGAGAUGGCCUUCUUGAGCAAAGGUAGUGACUCCUACAUUUUUUUUUUUUGUAGAGUUGUGAUACCCAUGAGUUAGUCAGCUUGGGCUAUCAUAACAAAAUACCACACAUUGGUUGGCUUAAACAACAGAAAUUCAUUUUCCUGUAAUUCUGGAGGCUGGAAGUCCAAGAUCAAGGUGACGACAGAGUUGGGUUUCCUCUGAAGCCUCUCUCCUUGGUUUUCAGAUGGGUGUCCUCUUGCUGUCUCUUCAUGUGACUGUCCCUCUGCAUGUGUGCCCCUGGGGACUCUUUCUUAUCUUAUAGUGACACUAGUUCUAUUGGAUUGAAGUGUACCCAUACGACCUCAUUUAAACUUAAUUACAUAUUGUAAGGCCCUAACUUCAAAUACAGUCACAUCCUGAGGUACUGUGUAUUAGGGCUUCAACAUAUAAAUUUUGGGGCAAUCCAGUUCAGCCCAUAAAAUCCCUUUUUGGUUGCUUGAUUCUGUUUAUUUGGUGUCAUGCCUUCCUUUUCCUAAAGAACUUCAUGAAUAGAAUUACUUUCUAAGUGAAAGGAACAAAACUGAUUUUUAUUAAAAAUUAUUUUGAGAUGCUUGUGACAAAUUUUGAAGUAAGUGAAGAUUUUCCUGGAGCUUCUACAAAAUCCUGGCUGAGAAUCCCUGCUUUCUGGACAGUUGAGAAGGAAAUACACUUAGUACAGCUGUUAGAGAGAUAUAGUUGCAACCACUGAGUGCUUAUUAUCUGCCAACUUAAAUAUAUUGCCCAAGGGAAUAACAAAUAUUCUAGUGUUCUUGUUAAGUAUAUUGUCUAAGGUCACACAGCUCUUAAACAACAGCUUCAGGAUUUGAACCUGGAAUCUAUCUGACUCCUAAGUCCAGAUGCUGUUCACCACAUUAGGUUGAAGCAUGGCCAGUGUUCAUAACAUACAACUAUGUCUCCAUAUCUUUUGCUAACCAAUGUUCUUGUAUGUGCAUACCUUACAGGGCAGCCAUUCACCACAAGCCCUACUAGAUGGCUUCCUGUAAUAAGGGUAGAACAGUAGUACUCUCCUUUUGAGAAGUUAUUUGUAAUUUUGUUGGUGGGCUGACAUUUAGGCCCUGCUCUCCAGCCCCAGAGGGGAUCCCAUAACCUAGAUCAGGCCAAUGAUGAUUAUCUCCGUGACUGUAGUGGCUGGUCCAGCGGGGAGGGUCAGGCAGGUAAGCUGGCCCAACCUGAGUCCUUCUUGAGGAUUUUAGAAACUGAAGGUAGGAGAGAAAAAUUCUCUCUUUUCUUCUGGGGAACGGGAUGAAGGUGGUGGGUAGGCAGAGCUGUUGGGAUGUGGAUCCAGGGAUUCUGGAAGUCCUGUCCUCCACCAUGUAAAGAAUACAUCCUGCAGAAGGAGAGAAGGGAGCCAGCACACAGAGAAGCAGAGUCAGGAGAUGGAGAAGGAGAAUCCUGAGAGCCUGAAGGUCCCUGGGUCCAGCCAUUGUCAAGGCCGAGUUCUACCGUCCUUAAGUUGUUUACCUUUCUUUCUUGCUUGCUUCUGUUAGAAGAUGAACACUCAAUGAAAAAUCACCAAACAUCUGAGGAAAGCCAUCAAAAUGAAAUAAACGAAACACACAAGUUCCUAAACACAAGUGAACAGCGUGGGCUGGGUUUUUGUCGCUUGGAACUGGAAACGCUGACGAUAAUGCUGACCUCUGAGCAGACCCACGUGAGGGGCAGCUGUGGUGUGGUGUGAUGAUGCUGGGAUAGGCACUCAGAUGGUUGAGUCUGAGUUUGGCUCUGAUAUUAUAUCAACUGCAUGGGCAGCUGUGGUGUGGUGUGAUGAUGCUGGGAUAGGCACUCAGAUGGUUGAGUCUGAGUUUGGCUCUGAUAUUAUAUCAACUGCAUGGGCAGCUGUGGUGUGGUGUGAUGAUGCUGGGAUAGGCACUCAGAUGGUUGAGUCUGAGUUUGGCUCUGAUAUUAUAUCAACUGCAUGGGCAGCUGUGGUGUGGUGUGAUGAUGCUGGGAUAGGCACUCAGAUGGUUGAGUCUGAGUUUGGCUCUGAUAUUAUAUCAACCGCAUCAUUUUGGGGAAGACACAAUUUCUCAGAAUUUUAUUUAGUUGUAAAAUAAAGAUAAUGAUAUUACAUGCUCUGUCUACCAUCUAGAGUUUUUGUCAAGACAAAC
rnacentral:lncRNA from 1 species